GAUGAACGCUGGCGGCGUGCUUAACACAUGCAAGUCGAACGGAAAGGCCCUGCUUUUGUGGGGUGCUCGAGUGGCGAACGGGUGAGUAACACGUGAGUAACCUGCCCUUGACUUUGGGAUAACUUCAGGAAACUGGGGCUAAUACCGGAUAGGAGCUCCUGCUGCAUGGUGGGGGUUGGAAAGUUUCGGCGGUUGGGGAUGGACUCGCGGCUUAUCAGCUUGUUGGUGGGGUAGUGGCUUACCAAGGCUUUGACGGGUAGCCGGCCUGAGAGGGUGACCGGCCACAUUGGGACUGAGAUACGGCCCAGACUCCUACGGGAGGCAGCAGUGGGGAAUAUUGCACAAUGGGCGGAAGCCUGAUGCAGCAACGCCGCGUGCGGGAUGACGGCCUUCGGGUUGUAAACCGCUUUCGCCUGUGACGAGGCGUGAGUGACGGUAAUGGGUAAAGAAGCACCGGCUAACUACGUG
rnacentral:rRNA from 1 species